rnacentral:rRNA from 1 species
GAUGAACGCUGGCGGCGUGCUUAACACAUGCAAGUCGAACGAUGAAAGCGGGAGCUUGCUCCUGCUGGAUUAGUGGCGAACGGGUGAGUAACACGUGAGCAAUCUGCCCCGAACUCUGGGAUAAGCGUUGGAAACGACGUCUAAUACCGGAUACGACGCGCGAAGGCAUCUUCUGCGCGUGGAAAGAACUUCGGUUCGGGAUGAGCUCGCGGCCUAUCAGCUAGUUGGUGAGGUAACGGCCCACCAAGGCGACGACGGGUAGCCGGCCUGAGAGCGGAACCGGCCACACUGGGACUGAGACACGGCCCAGACUCCUACGGGAGGCAGCAGUGGGGAAUAUUGCACAAUGGGCGCAAGCCUGAUGCAUCAACGCCGCGUGAGGGACGACGGCCUUCGGGUUGUAAACCUCUUUUAGUAGGGAAGAAGCGAAGGUGACGGUAGUCGGAGAAGAAGCCCCGGCUAACUUCGUGCCAGCAGCCGCCGUAACAC